rnacentral:rRNA from 1 species
AGCUGGUUCUCUCCGAAAUAGCUUUAGGGCUAGCCUCAAGUGAUGAUUAUUGGAGGUAGAGCACUGUUUGGACGAGGGGCCCCUCUCGGGUUACCGAAUUCAGACAAACUCCGAAUGCCAAUUAAUUUAACUUGGGAGUCAGAACAUGGGUGAUAAGGUCCGUGUUCGAAAGGGAAACAGCCCAGACCACCAGCUAAGGUCCCAAAAUAUAUGUUAAGUGGAAAAGGAUGUGGCGUUGCCCAGACAACUAGGAUGUUGGCUUAGAAGCAGCCAUCAUUUAAAGAGUGCGUAAUAGCUCACUAGUCGAGUGACACUGCGCCGAAAAUGUACCGGGGCUAAACAUAUUACCGAAGCUGUGGAUUGUCCUUUGGACAAUGGUAGGAGAGCGUUCUAAGGGCGUUGAAGCAUGAUCGUAAGGACAUGUGGAGCGCUUAGAAGUGAGAAUGCCGGUGUGAGUAGCGAAAGACGGGUGAGAAUCCCGUCCACCGAUUGACUAAGGUUUCCAGAGGAAGGCUCGUCCGCUCUGGGUUAGUCGGGUCCUAAGCUGAGGCCGACAGGCGUAGGCGAUGGAUAACAGGUUGAUAUUCCUGUACCACCUAUAAUCGUUUUAAUCGAUGGGGGGACGCAGUAGGAUAGGCGAAGCGUGCGAUUGGAUUGCACGUCUAAGCAGUAAGGCUGAGUAUUAGGCAAAUCCGGUACUCGUUAAGGCUGAGCUGUGAUGGGGAGAAGACAUUGUGUCUUCGAGUCGUUGAUUUCACACUGCCGAGAAAAGCCUCUAGAUAGAAAAUAGGUGCCCGUACCGCAAACCGACACAGGUAGUCAAGAUGAGAAUUCUAAGGUGAGCGAGCGAACUCUCGUUAAGGAACUCGGCAAAAUGACCCCGUAACUUCGGGAGAAGGGGUGCUCUUUAGGGUUAACGCCCAGAAGAGCCGCAGUGAAUAGGCCCAAGCGACUGUUUAUCAAAAACACAGGUCUCUGCUAAACCGUAAGGUGAUGUAUAGGGGCUGACGCCUGCCCGGUGCUGGAAGGUUAAGAGGAGUGGUUAGCUUCUGCGAAGCUACGAAUCGAAGCCCCAGUAAACGGCGGCCGUAACUAUAACGGUCCUAAGGUAGCGAAAUUCCUUGUCGGGUAAGUUCCGACCCGCACGAAAGGCGUAACGAUUUGGGCACUGUCUCAACGAGAGACUCGGUGAAAUCAUAGUACCUGUGAAGAUGCAGGUUACCCGCGACAGGACGGAAAGACCCCGUGGAGCUUUACUGUAGCCUGAUAUUGAAAUUCGGCACAGCUUGUACAGGAUAGGUAGGAGCCUUUGAAACGUGAGCGCUAGCUUACGUGGAGGCGCUGGUGGGAUACUACCCUAGCUGUGUUGGCUUUCUAACCCGCACCACUUAUCGUGGUGGGAGACAGUGUCAGGCGGGCAGUUUGACUGGGGCGGUCGCCUCCUAAAAGGUAACGGAGGCGCUCAAAGGUUCCCUCAGAAUGGUUGGAAAUCAUUCAUAGAGUGUAAAGGCAUAAGGGAGCUUGACUGCGAGACCUACAAGUCGAGCAGGGUCGAAAGACGGACUUAGUGAUCCGGUGGUUCCGCAUGGAAGGGCCAUCGCUCAACGGAUAAAAGCUACCCCGGGGAUAACAGGCUUAUCUCCCCCAAGAGUUCACAUCGACGGGGAGGUUUGGCACCUCGAUGUCGGCUCAUCGCAUCCUGGGGCUGUAGUCGGUCCCAAGGGUUGGGCUGUUCGCCCAUUAAAGCGGUACGCGAGCUGGGUUCAGAACGUCGUGAGACAGUUCGGUCCCUAUCCGUCGUGGGCGUAGGAAAUUUGAGAGGAGCUGUCCUUAGUACGAGAGGACCGGGAUGGACAUACCUCUGGUGUACCAGUUGUCGUGCCAACGGCAUAGCUGGGUAGCUAUGUGUGGACGGGAUAAGUGCUGAAAGCAUCUAAGCAUGAAGCCCCCCUCAAGAUGAGAUUUCCCAACUUCGGUUAUAAGAUCCCUCAAAGAUGAUGAGGUUAAUAGGUUCGAGGUGGAAGCAUGGUGACAUGUGGAGCUGACGAAUACUAAUCGAUCGAAGACUUAAUCAAAA